UACGAAGGGGACUAGCGUUGUUCGGAUUUACUGGGCGUAAAGCGCGCGUAGGCGGAUCGCUAAGUCAGGGGUGAAAUCCCAGGGCUCAACCCUGGAACUGCCUUUGAUACUGACGGUCUGGAGAUCGGGAGAGGUUGGUGGAAUUCCGAGUGUAGAGGUGAAAUUCGUAGAUAUUCGGAGGAACACCAGAAGCGAAGGCGGCCAACUGGCACGAUACUGACGCUGAGGCGCGAAAGCGUGGGGAGCAAACAGG
rnacentral:rRNA from 1 species